AAAUGAACUGCACGGUAGCUAAAUGCGGAAGAGAUAAGUGCUGAAAGCAUCUAAGCACGAAACUUGCCCCGAGAUGAGUUCUCCCUGAGACUUUAAGUCUCCUGAAGGAACGUUAAAGACGAUGACGUUGAUAGGCCGGGUGUGUAAGCGCAGCGAUGCGUUGAGCUAACCGGUACUAAUGAACCGUGAGGCUUAACCUUACAACGCCGAAG
rnacentral:rRNA from 1 species